rnacentral:rRNA from 1 species
UACGGAGGAUGCAAGCGUUAUCCGGAUUCAUUGGGUUUAAAGGGUGCGUAGGUGGGUUUGUAAGUCAGUGGUGAAAUAUUGUCGCUUAACGAUAAGGUUGCCAUUGAUACUGCAGGUCUUGAGUUUGGUUGAGGUAGGCGGAAUGUGCAGUGUAGCGGUGAAAUGCAUAGAGAUUGCACAGAACUCCGAUUGCGAAGGCAGCUUACUAAGCCAAAACUGACGCUGAGGCACGAAAGCGUGGGGAUCGAACAGGAUUA